AGUAACUACUGUUGAUUCAGGCUCAAAGGCUUUAGAGUUUCUGGGUUUAAGACAAGGUAUUGAGAGUAAUGAUCCAAAUGCACUUUCUACGGCUCCUGUAAAUCACCAGGAAGUUGAAGUCAAUCUUAUAAUUACUGAUUAUUGUAUGCCAGGCAUGACUGGUUUUGAUUUGCUCAAGAAAGUCAAGGAAUCAUCAGCUUUCAAGAACAUACCAGUAGUUA